UGGAGUGGAUCCUAAGGAGUCAUGGUAUGUAUGUACCAGUGGAAUAUCAGCCCUGCCCCAAAAGUUCAUAGAUCACAGACUUCCUGGGGACCCCAAGUUAAGAAACUCUUCUGGAGAGAGCAGUUGUAUCCAGUGCUCAAGGGCAUAGUAACUUGGAUGUCUAGACUGCCCCUUCCCUACCUGCAGCCGCACAGAUGGUACCUCUCUCUGGAAGCAUAUUCCCUAAAGAACCAAGCCUUCUCAGGACAUCAUAUUCUGCCAGAAUGCACCUAUUUCUCAAAGUCCAUUUGUAAACAAAAACCAAUUUGUCAAAAUAAUUCAUAAUGUAGUAACUAAUGACAGAGCAAUAUGUUAUCCUUCCCAACUUUUUUUAUUUUAUUUUUUUUUAAUUUUUUUUAUUUUAUUUUUAUUUAUUUAUUUAUUUUUUAAUUUUAUUUUAAUUUUUAUUUUAAUUUAAAGGAAAA
rnacentral:lncRNA from 1 species